rnacentral:lncRNA from 1 species
CGGAAAGUUUAAAAAAUAUUUGUCUACUCUUUUUGACUCGGAUAUUUUAAUACUUUCCAAACGGUGAAGCUUUUAGCAGUAUUAAUGAAGAGUAAAAGAAAAGAUGUCCAAGCAUCUAGGAGGUACACUUUAUGUUUUUGUUCAUAAUGAAACAAAUAUUAAAACAAUGGUAUAAAGUAGUUUUAUACAAGUACUUUCGUUUUCGAUAUGCUAUAAAAACAAAUAGUUCAAAGGGCUGGAAUCAGUGGGAACUUGGCUGAUUUUGUUCAUUCUUUAUAUUUGUAUAAAAGUAUAGACAGCACAGAGAUAUUUAUACACUAUAAAUACAAAAAUGUGCACACUCAAACAUCAAAAUUAUGAAAACAUUUAAUAUAUAAUAUCAAUAAUGUAUAAAACAGUAAACGCUGUGGAUACAGGUCUGAAAGUAUGAAACCAGAUCCUAAUGUGUAAUAUUGUGUCAGCUGCAAGAUGCAUACAUACAACAUUUAUGUUGUUUUAGGCUAUACAAUAAUUUGAUCCUAUCUAUAAGAGCGUCUGUGAGGGAGACUAAUGUGCAAGCGGAGGAGUCCGACACGGCUGAAAUCUCAUACACUCAACUCGGAAAUCAACUGAAAUCAAACCCGAAAUCACGAUUAGACAUUAGUCAAUUUUGAAAUCAGAAAUCAUUAAAACUUCAUUAUUGAGCCCACAGUCUUAUAUGACAGCGGUAACUCACAGAAAUCGGGUUAGAAAGCAAGAAAUCGCAUUAUAAAUCAACAGAAAUCCGUUUAGAAACCAAAACCAGAUUAGAAAUCAAGAAAUUACGUUCGAAAUCGUGUGAUUUUGAAAUCUCGUACGCUUCAUGUGGCCGUGUCGGACCCCUCGGUGCAAGCAAUUACAAGUUGGAUGCUCAACCACUUGUCAACCAAGCAUUUGCUUGGAAUGUAGUGAAAUUUACGUAGUGCCAUUUUAUCGUGUUUGACCCAUUGACUCUCCCCUUGACAAGUAAAAUUGUCUGGCAUCAGACAGAGUAGAAUCAAAAGUAGGGUGUAAUGCAACUUGAUGGGUUAACUAGUAGACACAUGGGCAUAUAGUCUGAUCAACACAUUAAGUACCAGUGCUUUCCCCUUGAUGAGUAAAAUCAUCUGGUGUUUGAGUAAACUAAUAAAGUAGAGCAUAUUACAGCAGAGUGCAACUUAGAACAAGUAGCAAAAUUAUGUCGGACAAGUAACAUUCACAUAAAAUCUGGUGUCGGACCUGUAUCCACUCACUUGCUAACAUUAACAACAAUAGGCUUAACCCAUCAGAUAACUACAAAAAAUAUAUUGUGUCCAAAAAUAUAUCGUGUCCAUAAAUAUCAAAGAAUACAAUAAUUGAAUAAAUAAAUAAUCCCAUACAAAAAUAGUGCAUGCUUAUAGAAAAUCUAAUCUAAUAGAAAAAUAUUAGACAAUUUACAUGAUUUGUUUGUCUCGUAUGAUUUGUCUCUGACUGUACCAAGGCUAUAUGAACAGUGACUAGAAUAGCAACAGAUCAUGCUAUGCAAAUUUUUAAUGAUUUGCAAUAUUCAAAUCUUUAGAAAUGGUUGUCUUUAACCUAUCUAUUACGAAAGUCACCGAACUGUGGAAUCGCAUCAAAAAUCCAUAUCGCCAGCACUCCCACAAAUGCCACAAAUGUCUAGCGACUGCACCUACAUAUUUUUGCAUGUUUACAAUUCUAAUUUUAAACAGCCAAUCGACAUUUAACUGUAAUUGUUACCAAGAACUGGAUUGGCUGUUUAAAAUUAGAAUUGUAAACAUGCAAAAAUAUGUAGGUGCGGUCGUUAGACAUUUGUGGGAGUGGCGGCAAUACAAAUUUUUGACGCAAUUCCACAGUUCGGUGACUUUCGUAAUAGAUGCAGGUUUAUUAGCACACAGCAUGACCAGUUGCCAUGGCUAGCUUCGCCGCUGCAUCUGAACAAAAGCAAAUCAUGUUUUGACAAACUAUGUCAUGUAAAUGCAUUGGCCUAACUUACAGUAAAGACUAAAGACUGAUUGUCAAUCACCCUCUUAUAAUAUAGUCAUCCAC